rnacentral:rRNA from 1 species
UUGGAGGGCAAGUCUGGUGCCAGCAGCCGCGGUAAUUCCAGCUCCAAUAGCGUAUAUUAAAGUUGUUGCAGUUAAAAAGCUCGUAGUUGAAUUUCGGGAUCAAUAUGUUGGUCGUGCUUUGGUACGUACUAAUUUAUUGGUUUCUUCCUUCUGACGAACCAUGAUGUUAUUAAUCUGGUGUCUUGGGGAAUCAGGACUGUUACUUUGAAAAAAUUAGAGUGUUUAAAGCAGGC